UUGUUUUUUCAAAUACAAAAUAGGAAGUACUAUAACAAAAGACUCAAAAAUCUUAACUAGACUGACAGACUCGAUACUACUGUAUAAGACUAAUAAUUAAAAGACAACAUAAAAUAGACUAAAAAAUAAAAAGUUUCCUCAAGCAACUCGUGCAUGCAAUGGCCUUAACUAGAAUGGUCCUGGGUAUUUGUCAUGCUCAAACUCUAGAAAAUUGAUCUAUACCUGAAGGAGAAAAAUAAGAUCAAAUAGAGUUAGCGGCUCAAGACACUAUGCGACGCCACAACACCUCCUAUGGGACACAAGCAAGACGCGAUUGGGCUAUUUGUGAAAAUUAACUUAUGUGGCCAAGAGUGGAUAAAAGUGUAGACUCAACAAGUUGACCCCAUAGACAUGAAAAAUGCCUCACUAAGUCUUAUAUGGAUUCAAAUUCCCAAUAAUCAAGGCCAAAAAAAUUAAUUUGCAGAAAUGACCCAUUUUGCAAAAAUGGCAUAUGUGGCCGAAAGUGGCUAAAGAUGCAAACUCAAAAAGGAAGGACCUUAAAGUAAUAUGACACCGAGUUGUGGAUUCAAGAUCCUAAGACAUGGGUAAUUGAACCAUUUUUGCGAAAAUGACCCCAUUUUGCAAGAAUGGCCGAUGUGGCCAAAAGUGGCUAGACAUGCAAGAAUUGGCUAGGACCCCGCGAAGCCAAGAACCUAGGACUUACUAGGAAGACCGGACCCUAUGUGAGUUGCCUACGUAUCGUGUCUCGAAAGACGAGAAUCAGGUUCGCGUAGUUCGGGAAGAUUGGACAUGGAAGAAAGCCUUUAAAAAAAUGCAACUAAUUUGGAAAAACUAUAUUUUUUGGCUUUUUGAGAAAUGAUGGAAAAUGUAAAAUCUUUCUGGUUUUUCUUUUUCUCCUUUUUUUUUGAAUUUUUGGAAAAUGAUGGAAAAGUGCAAAAUCUUUUUUUUUUAUUUUCAUUUUUUUGUCUUUUCUUGAAAACGUUGUGAAAGAAAAAUAUAACUAGGCCCUACUUGCUUCAUUUUUCACCCUUCUUUCCCAAAGUAUCGAUCCGUAAAAUGACCUUUUUACCCUCAAAGAUGUAACAUGUUUCACAUAGGGAUGAUUUAAUGUCCUUUUGGGCCACGAGCCCAUUUUGACAAAACUUGGAUAGGCUUCCUACAAAGGGAUACGGUACCUGGGACCGAGCCCUGCUAGGUCUAAAUGACAUGAUGCAAGUAAGAAUGACCUAAAGGCUGACCUAAAUUUGGGGUUCACUAACAAGGCAAUUCGGGGGAGCGUAUGGUCGUUGGUGGCUGCUCAAGCUUUCCACCCACUCCAUACGUCCGACGGCCCCUCCUCCUAAAUUAAGGGUGACUCAACAAAGAGUUCGUGCACGCGACGCAUACUCUAAGACUUGUUGCAGAAAGAAGACUCAUGGUUAUGCAAAUGAUGACAGUUUAUAAAGCAGUAACACAUUAAGAAAAGCCAUAAAUAAAUAAACAACAAAACAAGAAAAUAAGACAAACAAAGCAAAUAAAGAAAACAAACACCUCAACCGAAUAUCCUAAAAACCAACAAGAUCAAGUACUAGCUCGAACCUGCAAGUCCCCAACAGAGUCGCUAGAGAUGUCACACCCCUUUUUUGCUACAAACCUCACUAACCCUCCUAAAAUAUAUAAAAGGAUUUGUAAAGCUUGAAAAUGGUUUUAAUUAAAAAGUGACAAAAAUUGUGUUCAAAAAGAUUUUUUUAGAGUCGCCACCUGACAUUGGUUUCGAUGUGCCAGGUCACCAUUUUUAAAAUGAUUUUUCUUUUAAAACACUUUAGACUCCAAAACCAAUUCUGCACCAGAGAUUCGGGUAAGGGGGUUCAUUUGACUUGGGGAGAAGGUGUUAGGCACUCCCUAAGUCCCGUAACUAGUAUGGUUGCAUACUUGAUCUAAUCAGCUUUUAAAAUAUUCAAGUUGAGAUAAAAACAAACACAAAAAAGAAAAGGAAAAAAUACACAAGAGGCUCGAGGUCGUUCCCGCCUAAUAAAAGAAAAAUAAAAAUAAAUAUAAAAUAAGUCCUCCUAGCCUAUACUAUGCCUCCAUUGAUGAUGCCACGGUCUCCAUUUACAUUUACUUCGGGGUAUUCCACGGAUAAAAAUAUAUACAAAUCCUUCGGGGCAUUCCCCGAAUAAAUUUAACUAAGAGGAACGACCUCUCACCUCAAAACUAACAAAAUCCUAAGGUUUGCCUACCCGCAUGUGGUCGGCCUAAGUAUGUUCCUAACGAAAGUAUCGAACAACAAAAUUAAUUUAAAUUACGACUCAACUUAACAAAUUGGCAUGGUAAAACAGUAAUCUAACAGCAAACUCGAGUACCAUUAAUUCUAAUCACUGUUGCGGUCUAUUUUAUGCUCUCGAUGAGGUUUAGCCAAAAAUUGGUAACCACACAGACCAUGUGCAUUCAUCACUCUAAAGAAAACCAAUAAAAAUUCACUUCAGUAAACACACCACGAGCAGAACAACCAUUCAACAUUCAUAACCAGCAAAGAUUGAGCACAGAACACAUAUAGUAAAAUUCAAAAUCAAAGUAAGAGAUGAACCUCAAAAUGAUAGCUUUUUCCGAUAACAGUAGCAGUGACGAAACAUGAAUCGAGACCAGAGCUUGACCGGAAAUCCUCGUCGGCAACCUCGAGCUCCGACCAAGCACCGGAAAAUUUCGAAUCGAACCCAAAUGCCUCAACUACUCCAUUCCGAUACAACUUGUGAAAUUUAUAUAGCCAUAAAGUCCAGACACUGUAGCUCUCAAUUUUUGACAAUAAACAUGAUGAGAAAUGAAGUAGAGAUACGAAUUUGAAUUUGGAAAGUAAGAUUUAACAAUUGUUUUCACUUUUCAUAUUUGUACGACUUUUGUACAAUUGAAUCUGGGAAUUAACGUGUGGUACUUUGUUAUGAUUGCUAAUGGGCUUCUCUUGUUCCUCUCCCAAUUUUGGACAGAGAUUCGCCGUCCUUUUAAACGUGAGUAGAGUGACGGCUGGAAAUGGAGUUGUAGGGAUUGAAAAACUUAGGGUAGGGUUUUUAUAAUUGGGUAUUUUAUAUGGAAGUGGGGAAGGGAUGAUGGCC
rnacentral:lncRNA from 1 species